GAUAGACGCUGGCGGCGUGCCUAACACAUGCAAGUCGAACGCCCUUUUGCGCAAGUGAGAGGGAGUGGCGGACGGGUGAGUACCACGUGGGUACCUACCUUGAGGUGAGGAAUACCACCGAGAAAUCGGUGACAAGACCGCAUACGCUUGGCAACAAGCAAAGUCUCGCAAGAGACGCCACAAGAUGGGCCUGCGCCUGAUUAGCUAGUUGGUGAGGUAAUGGCUCACCAAGGCGACGAUCAGUAGCUGGUCUGAGAGGAUGAUCAGCCACACUGGGAUUGAGAACGGCCCAGACUCCGUACGGGG
rnacentral:rRNA from 1 species